rnacentral:rRNA from 1 species
UACGGGGGGGGCAAGCGUUGUUCGGAAUUACUGGGCGUAAAGGGCUCGUAGGCGGCCAACUAAGUCAGACGUGAAAUCCCCAGGCUCAACCUGGGAACUGCGUCUGAUACUGGAUGGCUUGAAUUCGGGAGAGGGAUGCAGAAUUCCAGGUGUAGCGGUGAAAUGCGUAGAUAUCUGGAGGAACACCGGUGGCGAAGGCGGCAUCCUGGACCAACACUGACACUGAUGAGCGAAAGCCAGGGGAGCAAACGGG